CUAACGAAGGGGAUCACGGUGUGACGGGGGGCACUCGGUUGGUGUACGAGGGAGAUGGAAGCGGAGCAGGAGAUGACGAGGAGGCGAGUGUUGGUGACGUUCGACGUGGACGGGACGCUGAUCCGGAGCACCGGCAGCGCCUCCAACCACCUCCAUCGCCAGGCCUUCGCUCACGCCUUCCUGCGCGUCUUUGGCCUCCAAAACGCCACCAUCGACGCCGUCCAGCAUCAUGGCCAAACAGAUCCCAUUAUACUUGUGAAUACAGCCAUUCACUAUGGUGUAUCUUCCAAUGUGGCUGCUGAAAGACUUCCUGAUAUGAAGACAGAGAUGCUUAAAUAUGCUAGAGAACAUGUUGAAGAAAUUGGAGAGGGGCUUGAGGUUCUUCCUGGUGUUGCUUCUUUGUUGGAUGCUUUGUCUUCAAGUAAUGUGGUUAUUGGACUGGUCACAGGCAAUCUAGAAGAGAUUGCAUGGAUGAAGAUGGAUGGAUUGGGCAUCAGAAAAUAUUUUACAGUUCCAAACUUUGGAGGAUUUGGAAGUGAUCACAUUGAUCGAGGGCAUUUAGUGAAGAUUGCAGCUGACAGAGCCAAAGAACUAUGUCCUGCAGGAUUUGACUUACGUGUGCAUGUUGGAGAUACACCAAAUGACAUCAAAGCUGCAGAAUAUGGAGGAGCGCUUGCAAUAGGAGUAUGUACAGGUAUAUUUACUGAGGAGGAGCUGAAGAAGUCUAGCUGUGGCAGUGCAAUCAUACUCUCUGAUCUUACUGAUAGCACAACUUUCAUGAAUCUGCUGGGUAUCGAAGGCUAAUUUAUCUGCAGUCCCCAGAAAAAGGAUCUCUUCUUACAAUUCUCCUCACAAACCAGGAAAUUGGUAAUGAGCUCCCUCCAGGAUGAGUCCUUGAUUGUGACUGCAUGUGCUGAAUGCUGCCUGUCCUGUCUCCAGUGUGCCAGCACAUCUAUUUGCAAUUGGCAGAACAUGAUUGGGACGUGAUCAACGCGGUCAUGGCUCCGCACAUGGAUAUGUAUAAUUGCCAGAUUCUUGAUAGAGAUGAAGGAAGCUCCAUGAAUGGCUGUUUGACACACCAACCACUAUGAAACCUUGUGUCAAAAGACAACAUGAGAUGGAUGGAGUGGGUGAUCUGCCUUGCUGAUUUACUUGGUUUUCAAAGUUGAUGGCUUAGCUGGCCAUGCCUCAAUCUUGGGUGUCACCCAUGUGACUAACUUGGCUUAUUCAUGCCAAGUCAUGAUGAUGAUUGCCUCUGUGCAAAGUUUAGAUCUGAGAGGUCAUUUUACUUUGAAGAUAUUCUGCUAAGGAAUUGCAUGUGAUUAGUAGAUGUCAUCUCUGCUACUAGUUCUCAACUGUGUGUGCUCCUGCACCAAAUAGCAUGCAGAUCCAAGUUGUCUGACAUUGUCUGGAAUCAAUGCUGCAAAUGAUGCUAUCUGUAAAGGAUGGACCAUUAGGAAUUCCAUUGUGGAAUUUGGAUCUUCCCCCCAGUGUGUCUGUCACUGGUACAAAAAGUUUGACUGGUACAUAGAAACUAUAUGCUGAACAAAACCAUGCUGCAUUGUGUUUUACCUCCUUUUAUUAUGAAU